CUGAGUUGGGGUUGUGAAACCUGAGUAUAGAAGAGCCUCUUUUUUUUACAGCUAUGACAAGACUCAGCUCUUCUGAGUGUACAGUUCUCCCCUUUGGAACCAGUGAGAUAAGCAGCCCAGAAGAAAAGCAGGACUAAAACUCAGUGAUUGACAACACCGCCUGCAUUGUAGACUUGAGUGCACAUGCCUGGAAGACGCUUACCUUCCCCUUAACCACAGCUCUCUAUGAACGUGAUCAAGUCCAAUAACCAUGGCUUAGUUCCAAGAUUUUACCUCCUUAUAUCCCUGAAACACAACAUGUACACAGGACGCCACGUAUACCCAGUGGAGUUUGAUAAAAGAA